rnacentral:rRNA from 2 species
GUGCUUAACACAUGCAAGUCGAACGGAAAGGCCCUUUCGGGGGUGCUCGAGUGGCGAACGGGUGAGUAACACGUGGGUGAUCUGCCCUGCACUUUGGGAUAAGCCUGGGAAACUGGGUCUAAUACCGAAUAGGACCAUGGGAUGCAUGUCUUGUGGUGGAAAGCUUUUGCGGUGUGGGAUGGGCCCGCGGCCUAUCAGCUUGUUGGUGGGGUGAUGGCCUACCAAGGCGACGACGGGUAGCCGGCCUGAGAGGGUGUCCGGCCACACUGGGACUGAGAUACGGCCCAGACUCCUACGGGAGGCAGCAGUGGGGAAUAUUGCACAAUGGGCGCAAGCCUGAUGCAGCGACGCCGCGUGGGGGAUGACGGCCUUCGGGUUGUAAACCCCUUUCAGUACCGACGAAGCGUGAGUGACGGUAGGUACAGAAGAAGCACCGGCCAACUACGUGCCAGCAGCCGCGGUAAUACGUAGGGUGCGAGCGUUGUCCGGAAUUACUGGGCGUAAAGAGCUCGUAGGUGGUUUGUCGCGUUGUUCGUGAAAUC